rnacentral:rRNA from 1 species
AUUGAACCCUGGCGGCAUGCUUUACACAUGCAAGUCGAACGGUAACAGGGUGCUUGCACCGCUGACGAGUGGCGAACGGGUGAGCAAUGCGUCGGAACGCACCGAGUAAUGGGGGAUAACGCAGCGAAAGCUGUGCUAAUACCGCAUACGCUCUGAGGAGGAAAGCGGGGGACCUUCGGGCCUCGCGUUAUUCGAGCGGCCGACGUCUGAUUAGCUAGUAGGUGAGGUAAGAGCUCACCUAGGCGACGAUCAGUAGCGGGUCUGAGAGGAUGAUCCGCCACACUGGGACUGAGACACGGCCCAGACUCCUACGGGAGGCAGCAGUGGGGAAUUUUGGACAAUGGGCGCAAGCCUGAUCCAGCCAUGCCGCGUGUCUGAAGAAGGCCUUCGGGUUGUAAAGGACUUUUGUCAGGGAGGAAAUCCUUAGCGCUAAUACCGUUGAGGGAUGACAGUACCUGAAGAAUAAGCACCGGCUAACUACGUGCCAGCCGCCGCGGUAAAAC